rnacentral:rRNA from 1 species
AGAGGGUGCGAACGUUGUUCGGAAUUACUGGGCGUAAAGCGUGUGUAGGCGGCAAGGCAAGUCGGAUGUGAAAUCCCGUGGCUCAACCAUGGACGUGCACUCGAAACUGCCUAGCUAGAGUCCCGGAGAGGAAGGUGGAAUGCUUGGUGUAGAGGUGAAAUUCGUAGAUAUCAAGCAGAACACCUGUGGCGAAGGCGGCCUUCUGGACGGUGACUGACGCUGAGACACGAAAGCGUGGGGAGCAAACAGGAUUAGAUACCCUGGUAGUCCACGCCGUAAACGAUGAGUGCUAGGUAUCACGGGCUUUGACCCCCGUGGUGCCGAAGCUAACGCGAUAAGCACUCCGCCUGGGAAGUACGGCCGCAAGGCUAAA